AGUGAACGCUGGCGGUAGGCCUAACACAUGCAAGUCGAACGGCAGCACAGAGGAGCUUGCUCCUUGGGUGGCGAGUGGCGGACGGGUGAGGAAUACAUCGGAAUCUACUCUGUCGUGGGGAUAACGUAGGGAAACUUACGCGAAUACCGCAUACGACAUACGGGUGAAAGCAGGGGAUCUUCGGACCUUGCGCGAUUGAAUGAGCCGAUGUCGGAUUAGCUAGUGGGCGGGGUAAAGGCCCACCAAGGCGAUGAUCCGUAGCUGGUCUGAGAGGAUGAUCAGCCACACUGGAACUGAGACACGGUCCAGACUCCUACGGGAGGCAGCAGUGGGGAAUAUUGGACAAUGGGCGCAAGCCUGAUCCAGCCAUACCGCGUGGGUGAAGAAGGCCUUCGGGUUGUAAAGCCCUUUUGUUGGGAAAGAAAUCCAUCUGGUUAAUACCCGGGUGGGAUGACGGUACCCAAAGUAUAAGCACCGGCUAACUUCGUGCCAGCCGCCGCGGUAA
rnacentral:rRNA from 1 species